rnacentral:rRNA from 1 species
UAGGGAAUUUUCGUCAAUGGGCGCAAGCCUGAACGAGCGAUGCCGCGUGAGUGAAGAAGGCCUUGGUCGUAAAGCUCUGUUGCGGGGGAAAAAAGGGCAGCAUCAGGAAAUGGGUGCUGACUGAUGGUGCCCCGCCAGAAAGUC